rnacentral:rRNA from 1 species
UACAGAGGUCCCGAGCGUUGUUCGGCUUCACUGGGCGUAAAGGGUGCGUAGGUGGUGAGGUAAGUCGGAUGUGAAAUCUCCGGGCUCAACCCGGAAAUGGCAUUGGAAACUACCUUGCUGGAGGAUUUGAGGGGGGAUUGGAAUACUUGGUGUAGCAGUGAAAUGCGUAGAUAUCGUGAGGAACACCAGAGGCGAAGGCGGCUACCUGGACAAUUGCUGACGCUCAGGCACGAAAGCGUGGGGAGCAAAAGGG